AGAUAGAGGAGUGCUCGAAAGAGAGCCGUAACACAGGUGCUGCAUGGCUGUCGUCAGCUCGUGUCGUGAGAUGUUGGGUUAAGUCCCGCAACGAGCGCAACCCUUGUCAUUAGUUGCUACAAAGGGCACUCUAAUGAGACUGCCGGUGACAAACCGGAGGAAGGUGGGGAUGACGUCAAGUCCUCAUGGCCCUUAUAGGUGGGGCUACACACGUCAUACAAUGGCUGGUACAAAGGGUUGCCAACCCGCGAGGGGGAGCCAAUCCCAUAAAGCCAGUCGUAGUCCGGAUCGCAGUCUGCAACUCGACUGCGUGAAGUCGGAAUCGCUAGUAAUCGUGGAUCAGCAUGUCACGGUGAAUACGUUCCCGGGUCUU
rnacentral:rRNA from 1 species